AGAAAGAAAGAAGGAUAAAUAAGAGAAACCUUCAACUGCCUGUUUGAAUAAGCACUCUGUCUCUCGUGACCAGCAAGUGCUUUUCAUUCGUCUCGUCACACAAGAAGUCUUAUCUGUUAACCCUAGAACAAUAUAUUUAGUUUGGAAGGGAAGUUUGGAGCUCUCUGACCCAUUCCCCUGCUCAAAACAGGUCAAAUUACUUCAGGUUGCCUAGGAUCUUACUCAGAUAUUGCAAUGGCCUCCCAUGUCAUAAGGGGCACUUACUGAAUUUAAAGAUGUCAUAAGCCAGAAGCUCUCCUGCUCACUUCAUAUCACAGUGAAUUCCAACUCAACAGCACUGGCAGCAGCAGCAGAACAGCACUGUGGAGCUCUAAAGUUCACUGAUGAGUGUUAGCUGAGGUCAGUCCUGGACAGCAGCAAUGAAAAUUUCACAGG